GAUGAAGAACGUAGCGAAAUGCGAUAAGUAGUGUGAAUUGCAGAAUUCAGUGAAUCAUCGAAUCUUUGAACGCACCUUGCGCCCUUUGGACAUUCCGAAGGGCAUGCCUGUUUGAGUAUCAUGAACACCUCAACUCUCACGGCUUGUCCGUGAUGAGCUUGGACUUUGGGGGUCUUGCCGGCCUGUGGUCGGCUCCUCUCAAAUGGAUCAGCUUGCCAGUGUUUGGUGGCAUCACAGGUGUGAUAACUAUCUGCGCUUGUGGUUUUCCAUCAGAUAACCUUCAGUGAUAUGGAGGUUCGCUGGAGCUCACAAAUGUCUCUCCUUAGUGAGGACAGCUCUUUGAACGUUUGAUCUCAAAUCAGGUAGGACUACCCGCUGAACUUAAGCAUAUCAAUAAGCGGAGGA
rnacentral:misc_RNA from 1 species